rnacentral:rRNA from 1 species
UAGGGAAUCUUCCGCAAUGGGCGAAAGCUUGACGGAGCAACGCCGCGUGAGUGAUGAAGGUCUUCGGAUCGUAAAACUCUGUUAUUAGGGAAGAACAAAUGUGUAAGUAACUAUGCACGUCUUGACGGUACUUAACCAGAAAGGGACGGCUAACUACGUGCCAGCAGCUGCGGUAAUACGUAGGUCCCGAGCGUUGUCCGGAUUUAUUGGGCGUAAAGCGAGCGCAGGCGGUUAGAAAAGUCUGAAGUGAAAGGCAGUGGCUCAACCAUUGUAGGCUUUGGAAACUGUUUAACUUGAGUGCAGAAGGGGAGAGUGGAAUUCCAUGUGUAACGGUGAAAUGCGUAGAUAUAUGGAGGAACACCGGUGGCGAAAGCGGCUCUCUGGUCUGUAACUGACGCUGAGGCUCGAAAGCGUGGGGAGCGAACAGG